GGAGGGGUGGUGCAACAGCAGCAUCACUGUUUCAUAAGCAGUAGACAGAGGUGCAACUCCUCUCCCCUCCA
rnacentral:tRNA from 1 species